GCAGGAGACACGUGAGUCCGCGGGGGAGGAGGGGGUCUUCAGUCUCUGGACGAGACCUGCGUCACACAUCUCCCCACAACGCACAGGCUGCUCUGGCUCUCUCUCCUCCUGUAGGUGACCCCAGCUUGGCGUGGAAGGGUCUGGAUCCAAGCCAAAGGGCUGUUUCUUGGUCCUGUGUGGAGGCGGCGUUCCUAGUCGUGCUUCAAGACUCAGUGUCACUGGCUGCUUCCCCACCCCUCCGGGCAGAGUGAGAUGUUCUCCCUGGAUCCCCACAGGAUUUUGUACGUCCCUGUUUUCACAAGCCCUGUGCUGGGUGUCCAGGACAGAUGUGAACCCCAGCCGGUCCCUGCAGCACGAGGAUAGGAAUGUGCUCAAGAGACGUUUCUGACUGCGACUCCAGUUACAAGAGACUUACAUUUUUAGCUCAUUCAUUUAUUGUUUUUCUGUGC